rnacentral:rRNA from 1 species
CAUGGCUCAGGACGAACGCUGGCGGCGUGCUUAACACAUGCAAGUCGAACGUGAUUUUUGUGGAAAUUCUUUCGGGAAUGGAAAUGAAAUGAAAGUGGCGAACGGGUGAGUAACACGUGAGCAACCUACCUUACACAGGGGGAUAGCCGUUGGAAACGACGAUUAAUACCGCAUGAGACCACAGAAUCGCAUGAUAUAGGGGUCAAAGAUUUAUCGGUGUAAGAAGGGCUCGCGUCUGAUUAGCUAGUUGGAAGGGUAAAGGCCUACCAAGGCGACGAUCAGUAGCCGGUCUGAGAGGAUGAACGGCCACAUUGGAACUGAGACACGGUCCAAACUCCUACGG